UUAAGUCAGGCAACGAGCGAGACCCACGCCAACAGUUGCCAGCAUGUCCUCCGGGAUGGUGGGGACACUGUUGGGACCGCCUCUGCUAAAGAGGAGGAAGGAAUGGGCAACGGUAGGUCAGCAUGCCCCGAAUUAUCCGGGCUACACGCGGGCUACAAUGGGCAGGACAAUGGGUUUCGACACCGAAAGGUGAAGGCAAUCUCUUAAACCUGCUCGUAGUUCGGAUUGCGGGUUGCAACUCGCCCGCAUGAAGCUGGAAUCUGUAGUAAUCGCGUCUCAAAAUGGCGCGGUGAAUAUGUCCCUGCUCCUUGCACA
rnacentral:rRNA from 1 species